GCCGAGGUAGCUCAGAAGCAGAGCAGGGCUUUUGUAAAGCCAAGGCCGGGAUUGCAAAACUCCCCCUCGGCUCCA
rnacentral:tRNA from 4 species